GCCGGGAGUUAGUGCCGUGCUCCUGUAAUCCAGCUACUUGGAGGCCGUGUGCAGCGGACGCCUCUGGUCGUAUAUUCGGAUCCUACUUUUCGCGCAUU
rnacentral:SRP_RNA from 1 species